GAUGAACGCUGGCGGCGUGCCUAAUACAUGCAAGUCGAGCGAACAGUUGAGGAGCUUGCUCCUCUGACGUUAGCGGCGGACGGGUGAGUAACACGUGGAUAACCUACCUAUAAGACUGGGAUAACUUCGGGAAACCGGAGCUAAUACCGUAUAAUAUAUUGAACCGCAUGGUUCAAUAGUGAAAGACGGUUGUGCUGUCACUUAUAGAUGGAUCCGCGCCGCAUUAGCUAGUUGGUAAGGUAACGGCUUACCAAGGCUACGAUGCGUAGCCGACCUGAGAGGGUGAUCGGCCACACUGGAACUGAGACACGGUCCAGACUCCUACGGGAGGCAGCAGUAGGGAAUCUUCCGCAAUGGGCGAAAGCCUGACGGAGCAACGCCGCGUGAGUGAUGAAGGUCUUCGGAUCGUAAAACUCUGUUAUUAGGGAAGAACAAAUGUGUAAGUAACUAUGCACGUCUUGACGGUACCUAAUCAGAAAGCCACGGCUAACUACGUG
rnacentral:rRNA from 1 species